GCGGCCUUAGCUCAGCUGGGAGAGCGUCAGACUGAAGCCUCUAAACUUCAAUCCCCUUUGAUAUCUGAAGGUCGUGUGUUCGAUCCACACAGGCCGCA
rnacentral:tRNA from 1 species